rnacentral:rRNA from 1 species
UGGGGAAUCUUCCGCAAUGGACGAAAGUCUGACGGAGCAACGCCGCGUGAGUGAUGACGGCCUUCGGGUUGUAAAGCUCUGUUAAUCGGGACGAAUGGUUCUUGUGCAAAUAGUGCGAGGAUUUGACGGUACCGGAAUAGAAAGCCACGGCUAACUACGUGCCAGCAGCCGCGGUAAUACGUAGGUGGCAAGCGUUGUCCGGAAUUAUUGGGCGUAAAGCGCGCGCAGGCGGAUUGGUCAGUCUGGCUUAAAAGUUCGGGGCUUAACCCCGUGAUGGGAUGGAAACUGCCAAUCUAGAGUAUCGGAGAGGAAAGUGGAAUUCCUAGUGUAGCGGUGAAAUGCGUAGAUAUUAGGAAGAACACCAGUGGCGAAGGCGACUUUCUGGACGAAAACUGACGCUGAGGCGCGAAAGCCAGGGGAGCGAACGGG